rnacentral:rRNA from 1 species
UGAGGUAAUGGCUCACCUAGGCGACGAUCCGUAACUGGUCUGAGAGGAUGAUCAGUCACACUGGAACUGAGACACGGUCCAGACUCCUACGGGAGGCAGCAGUGGGGAAUAUUGGACAAUGGGCGAAAGCCUGAUCCAGCCAUGCCGCGUGUGUGAAGAAGGUCUUCGGAUUGUAAAGCACUUUAAGUUGGGAGGAAGGGCAGUAAGUUAAUACCUUGCUGUUUUGACGUUACCAACAGAAUAAGCACCGGCUAACUUCGUG